UAUGUUGCCCAGGCUGGUCUCACACUCCUGGGCUCAAGAGGUCCUCCUGCCUCAGCCUUCCAAAGUGCUAGGAUUACAGGCAUGAGCCACCACACCCAGCCCAAUACUACUGAUUUUUAACUGGUACUCUUUUGUACGCACUAUUAGCCAGGCACGGUGGCUUAUGCCUAUAAUCCUAACACUUUGUGAAGCUAAGGCAGAUGGAUCACUUUAGCUCAGGAGUUCCAGCCUGGGUAAAAUAGUGAGACCCCAUCUC
rnacentral:lncRNA from 1 species